GCUUCUUGGUAGCUUAGUCGGUAGAGCAUCCGCCAAUAACGUGAAGGUCGCCAGUUCGAUCACUGCCCAGCG
rnacentral:tRNA from 1 species